GGGGAUGCUCCGGCAUAGACAGUUGAGCUCCUCGCGCAUACGCAAAGUAGAGCACUGUUAACUCUUUAAUCUGACAGAAACACUAAGUGUAAAUAACUUAGUCGCAAAAGCAAAAUCCGUCGCUUCUCCAUAUUUUGGAGCAAACGACUUUGCUUUCGCUUACGCUUCGGCCUAAGCGGCGCCUUACCCGCGAACGUCCGAGACGCGGGCAGUAGGUGUUAUAAUUUCGGAAUAGAAAUCACAGGGCCUUGAUGUGAUUUUGAAAUUAACUGAGGACCGAUCACAGGGUAUUUGGUUUGUUUAUAGCCAUGUGAUUUAAAUUCGCUCACGCGAAAGAAAGCAAACUAAACUUUGUAGAAGUGCGCGCGAGAUUCAAUUGCACGGCGGUUCGAUUCCGCCCAUCUCCACUG
rfam:Candidatus Taylorbacteria bacterium RIFCSPLOWO2_12_FTLL_43_20 rifcsplowo2_12_scaffold_2336, whole genome shotgun sequence.